rnacentral:rRNA from 1 species
AUUGAACGCUGGCGGCAUGCUUUACACAUGCAAGUCGAACGGCAUCGCGGGCUUCGGCCUGGCGGCGAGUGGCGAACGGGUGAGUAAUACAUCGGAACGUGCCCAGUAGUGGGGGAUAGCUCGGCGAAAGCCGGAUUAAUACCGCAUACGACCUGAGGGUGAAAGCGGGGGAUCUUCGGACCUCGCGCUAUUGGAGCGGCCGAUGGCAGAUUAGCUAGUUGGUGGGGUAAAGGCCUACCAAGGCGACGAUCUGUAGCUGGUCUGAGAGGACGACCAGCCACACUGGGACUGAGACACGGCCCAGACUCCUACGGGAGGCAGCAGUGGGGAAUUUUGGACAAUGGGCGAAAGCCUGAUCCAGCAAUGCCGCGUGUGUGAUGAAGGCCUUCGGGUUGUAAAGCACUUUUGGCGGGAACGAAAAGGACCGUGCCAAUACCACGGUUCGAUGACGGUACCCGCAGAAUAAGCACCGGCUAACUACGUG